rnacentral:lncRNA from 1 species
CAGGAGGCAGUCAGAGAACGUUUGUGGAAUGAAUAAAUAAAAGCAUAUUUUGAGGGAAUAAAGAAGCAGAAAAACAAAGAAGAAUCCGGAGAAGAUGCGCAUAAAUCUCCACCAAGUGCUGCCAAGGCUUCCCAGCCGAGGCUGCUGAAAAGACCCUGUGGAGCGGCUGCUCUGCCUGGGAUACACACGUUUCAAGAGUCUCAGUUCCCGCUUUGCCACCAUCUUCUCCUCUGAUCUCCUUACCUGCUUCAAAAGACUCCAGAAUCUUCUCGGUUCUCAGAGAAGGCUGAAUCCACCUAUGACCUAUGACCUAGUGGGUGCGUCCUGUGCCAAAAUUGUUUACCUUCUGGUCCCCGGAGCCAUGGGUCACGACCUGGUCCUCACGUAGGCCCGCUCCGCAGCAGACCCCAUCUGUGGCUUCUCCCAUCUCACUGGGGAAGAAGGAGAGCCCUGGGGAUGUGGAGAAGCCCCCCCGCCACAUCCCCCACAUCUUACAGAAUCUCCAUUGAGUCCCUGGGGGCACAUCCCUCAGCAGGACAGGAACAGUCUUUGCCGCGGCAUGCUGAGGGCUGUGCUGGGGAUGAGCGCCCAGUGGCUGUGGACUAAGUGAAGGAAAUGACCGUGCUCUUCUCCCAGCUGGAUGGCGAGGCCGGGCAGGAACGGCGGAAUUCCUGCUCUUUGUUUUCAAACACUUUGCUGUCAAGCUAUUUGAAUAAUAAAUACACAUUAUAAAAAUGUAAA